rnacentral:lncRNA from 1 species
UUCUGGUUUCAAAUGACACUGGGCCGGAAACCCCUGAGACAGCCUCUCCCAACUUACUGGUAAAAUCCUGUUGAAGAUUAAGAAACUACGAGUGUAGUAAUUUGGACAUGGGCAGGCUGGGUAUGGGGACCAUGGGCAGGAUGGUCAUGCCAUGAGGAGGGACAGCUGGACAUGCUCUGGGAUGGAUGUGAUGCCGUUUCUUACACAGUUUCAGAGUGGCCUCUUCAAGAGGGGCCCACAAUGAAGAGUCCACCCCGAGGGGAGUCUAUUCCACACCCAGGUCCCCGCAAGGGUGAGUUCAUGAGAAGAAGGAGAGGAGAACGGGUUUCCUCCUGCCACGCUGGGGAGGCAAGGCCAGACCCACCUGUGCCAAGGUCAGUUCUGAACCUCCCUCAUGCUGGUUUCUGGGCUUCCUGCUCAGGUGUGUGGCCUUGGGAGGACAAGAUGUGGGAGGAGAGGUGAAUCCACCCCAACUCAAGAUUUGGUCAUCGUUUUCUCUCACCUUCUGAGUCUCUUCCUUCCUUCAAAAAAUCAGUUGAAUGAUCUUGACCCUUUCCCCCAAAUCCCAGCAUGAUCCAGUCUCACAUAGUUCUCCCCACAGCUCACGGCUGUGCCCUCCAUGCCAGGUGAAUUCCCUGGGGUCCCCGGGUGACUUCCUGAGAGAUGAAGACCACAUAAAAUGCAAGGAAAUGAAGGGGCAACCUGCUCCCCGCCCACCCCAAGCCCCAGCACACUGGACGCUAGUCCAGAGUAGGCCUUCUUUGCUCCUCUGCCUGCUCGCUUGAGGCCACCAUGCCGUUUGGCAGGAGUGCGUAAGAACCGAGCAUGAACUAGCUGGCCAAGGACAGGCAGCAUCUCCUCGCACCCUGAGGCUGAUUUCCAGAGUGUAGGCAACAGACCUCAGCCAGCCUCGGUCCAGCAGAACACUCUGAUCACAAACUUCACUUUCACUGGCAAACAGCCUGCUCAAUGUUUCAGGGGAGCCAGAACCACUUCUGUGCAGGAGGCCUUCCAAGGGCUUCUUUAGAACAGUAUCCUCUUCUGCUGCAUCAGUUAGACCUGCU